rnacentral:rRNA from 1 species
GAUGAACGCUGGCGGCGUGCUUAACACAUGCAAGUCGAACGAAGUGGCGAACGGGUGAGUAACGUGUAAUCAACCUGCCCUUCAGAGGGGGACAAAAGUUGGAAACGACUGCUAAUACCGCAUACUGAAGGAGGGGAUUGUGUCUGAUUAGCUAGUUGGAGGGGUAACGGCCCACCAAGGUGAUGAUCAGUAGCGUGUCUGAGAGGAUGAACGGCCACAUUGGGACUGAGACAAGGUCCAGACUCCUACGGGAGGCAGCAGGGGGGAAACUUCCGCAAUGGACGAAAGUCUGGCGGAGCCACGCCGCGUGAGUGGUGACGGCCUUCGGGUUGUAAAGCUCUGUUAAUCGGGACGCGGUACCGGAAUAGAAAGCCACGGCUAACUACGUGCCAGCAGCCGCGGUAAUUC